rnacentral:rRNA from 1 species
UACCAUGCAGUCGAGCGGUAGCACAGGAAAGCUUGCUCUGUGGGUGACGAGCGGCGGAGGGGUGAGUAGUGUGGGGAAAAGUGCGUGAUGGAGGGAGAUAUCUAGUGAACACGGUAUCUAAUACCGCAUAACCUCACGAGACCAAAGGGGGGGAUUUUCGGGCCUCGUGCUCUCAUAUGCGCCCAUGUGGUAUUAUCUAAUGUGGGGGGUAGUGGCUCCCCUACGACAAUAUCCCUAUGUGGUCAGAGAAGAAGACCACCCACAGUGGAACUGACACACGGCCCACACUCCUACGGGGGGCAACUGUGGGAAAUAUUGCACAGUGGGCGCACGCCUGAUGCCCCCGUGCCGCGUGUGAGAAAAGCGUCUUCGGUUUGUAAAGUUUUUUCCGCGAAGAAGAGCGCUUUGUGUUUAAUAACCACUGUGUUUGAUUUUUCUCACAAAAGACACCCCGGCUAUCUCCGUGCCAGCCCCCGCGGUAAUACAGAGGGUGCACGUGUAUCUCAAAUUUAGUGGGCAUAACGCACACGCGCGCGGUCUGACGUCUCAGAUGUGAACUCCCGGGGCUCACCCUGGAAUCUGCUUUCAACAGUGACGCGCUAGACUCGUGUAGAGGGGGAUAAAACUCCGUGUGUAGCGGUGAUGUGCAUAGAUAUCUGGAAGAAUACGUGUGGAGAGCGCCGCCCCGUGCACAAACACUGACUCUCGUGUGCGAACGCGUGGAGAGCACACGAGAAUAUAUACUGUGAUACUCCACCCCAUACAAUAUGUCCAUGUGGGAUGGUGUUCUUUGAAGAGUGUCUUCCAGAUCUCACGUU